rnacentral:rRNA from 1 species
AGUGAACGCUGGCGGUAGGCCUAACACAUGCAAGUCGAACGGCAGCACAGUAAGAGCUUGCUCUUACGGGUGGCGAGUGGCGGACGGGUGAGGAAUACAUCGGAAUCUACUUUUUCGUGGGGGAUAACGUAGGGAAACUUACGCUAAUACCGCAUACGACCUACGGGUGAAAGCAGGGGAUCUUCGGACCUUGCGCGAUUGAAUGAGCCGAUGUCGGAUUAGCUAGUUGGCGGGGUAAAGGCCCACCAAGGCGACGAUCCGUAGCUGGUCUGAGAGGAUGAUCAGCCACACUGGAACUGAGACACGGUCCAGACUCCUACGGGAGGCAGCAGUGGGGAAUAUUGGACAAUGGGCGCAAGCCUGAUCCAGCCAUACCGCGUGGGUGAAGAAGGCCUUCGGGUCGUAAAGCCCUUUUGUUGGGAAAGAAAAGCAGCAGGUUAAUACCCCGCUGUUCUGACGGUACCCAAAGAAUAAGUACCGGCUAACUUCGUG